rnacentral:lncRNA from 1 species
AUGACUGCCCCCGUCCCCUAUGAUAUUCUGAUGACUGGCUUGGGGAUGAGUUUGCUUCGCCAUCCUGAUCCUUGUUCAUUGCUUCAAGUGAUUCACUAUCUAUUCCCCAAACCCACUAGGGUGUUACUACUCAGGACACCAGCUUUUGCAGAACUGCAUCUCAAACCCCAGCUUUCACUCUUCUUCCCACAUCUCACCUUCUCAACUCUUCAUUUGCUUUCCCUGCCCUUUGGUAUGCAGGCCCUUGCAAGAAGCACAGGUUGCAUACGUCGGGAAAAUGUAUGCACUUAAUUGUCACGGGUCAAGAAACUUAGCUGAUGGAGGUGAGAUGAUGAAGUGCUCUAAGAAGAUCACUCAGAAGAAAAGGAUGUGGACUAAUAUGAAAAGGAAGAUUUCCUACCUAGGAAACAGGAGAUCAGAGGAUAGAACAAGAAUCAGAGAACAGGUAAGCAGCCAGUCAAAAGUGGGGAGCAGUGUGUUCCCAUUACAAUGUCAAAGGAUGAUCUAUCUGAUAAUCUAUGUGGC